rnacentral:rRNA from 1 species
UCUUGGUCAUUUAGAGGAAGUAAAAGUCGUAACAAGGUUUCCGUAGGUGAACCUGCGGAAGGAUCAUUACCAAGAGUCCGUACCAAAAGCCCACUGGCUCUGCCUUUGCGGCGGUGUACAGCUCAUACUACACCCUUAUUUAUACGCACCUUUUUGUUGUUUCCUCGGCGGGUCCGCUCGCCGAUAGGAAGCCCAUCAAACCCUUUGCAUCAGCAUGAAAACUUCUGAACAAACCCUAAAUAUUUACAACUUUCAACAAUGGAUCUCUUGGUUCUGGCAUCGAUGAAGAACGCAGCGAAAUGCGAUAAGUAGUGUGAAUUGCAGAAUUCAGUGAAUCAUCGAAUCUUUGAACGCACAUUGCGCCCCUUGGUAUUCCAUGGGGCAUGCCUGUUCGAGCGUCAUUUACACCCUCAAGCGUUGCUUGGUGUUGGGCGUCUGUCCAGCCGACUCGGCGCGGACUCGUCCUAAAAAUAUUGGCAGCGGUCCUAACCAGCCUCUCGCGCAGCAGUUCGCGCUUCUCGAGGAACAAGGGGAGGUCGCGUCCACGAAGCUUACUUUUUGACUUGACCUCGGAUCAGGUAGGGAUACCCGCUGAACUUAAGCAUAUCAAUAAGCUGA